AAUUUGGGGAGGGGUCGGCACGGGGGAGACCCCAGAGCCAUCCCAGGAAAGGGGCAGAGACCCCAGAGCCACCCCAGGAAGGGGAAUGAGACCCCAGACCCAUUUACACAAUGAGUUCUGUCCUGUUAAAGUGGGGAGUGGAACCCAAAAUCUGCCCUUGAUGCGGGUCUGGAAUCUGGGAAUGGGAAUUUGGGGAGGGGUCGGCACUGGGGAGACCCCAGAGCCACCCUCAGAAAGGGAGUGAGACCCCAGACCCACCCUCGGAAAGGGAAUGAGACCCCAGAGCCAUCCCAGGAAAGGGGCAGAGCCCCCAGACCCAUUUAGAGAAUGAGUUCUGUAUCUCCAGUCCUGUUAAAGUAGGAGUGGGAUCCCAAACCAGCCCCAAAAUCUCAGUCUGGAGCCUGGGAAUGGGAAUUUGGGGAGGGGUCGGCACGGGGGAGACCCCAGAGCCAUCCCAGGAAGGGGAAUGAGACCCCAGACCCAUUUACAGAACGAGUUCUGUAUCCCCUGUCCCCUUAGAAGUGGGGAGGGGAACCCAAAACCAGCCCCAAAUCCCAGUCUGGAAUCUGGGAAUGGGGAAUUUGGGGAGGGGUCGGCACUGGGGAGACCCCAGACCCCUCCCAGGAAAGGGAAUGAGACCCCAGACCCACCCUUGGAAAGGGAAUGAGACCCCAGACCCAUCCCAGGAAAGGGAAUGAGACCCCAGAGCCAUUUACAGGACGAGUUCUGUAUCCCCAGUCCUGUUAAAAAUGGGAGUGGGAUCCCAAACCAGCCCCAAAAUCUCAGUCUGGAGCCUGGAAACGGGAAUUUGGGGAGGGGUCGGCACUGGGGAGACCCCAGACCCAUCCCAGGAAAGGGAAUGAGACCCCAGACCCAUUUACAGAACGAGUUCUGUAUCCCCAGUCCUGUUAAAAGUGGGGAGGGGAACCCAAACCAGCCCCAAAUCCUGAUCUAGAAUCUGGGAAUGGGGAAUUUGGGGAGGGGUCGGCACUGGGGAGACCCCAGAGCCAUCCCAGGAAGGGGAAUGAGACCCCAGACCCAUUUACAGAACGAGUUCUGUAUCCCCUGUCCCCUUAGAAGUGGGGAGGGGAACCCAAAACCAGCCCCAAAUCCUGAUCUAGAAUUUGGGAAUGGGGAAUUUGGGGAGGGGUCGGCACUGGGGAGACCCCAGAGCCAUCCCAGGAAAGGGAAUGAGACCCCAGACCCAUCCCAGGAAAGGGAAUGAGACCCCAGAGCCAUCCCAGGAAGGGGAAUGAGACCCCAGACCCAUUUACAGAACGACUUCUGUAUCCCCUGUCCUGUUAAAGUGGGAGUGGGAUCCCAAACCAGCCCCAAAAUCUCAGUCUGGAGCCUGGGAAUGGGGAAUUUGGGGAGGGGUCGGCAUGGGGGAGACCCCAGACCCAUCCCAGGAAAGGGAAUGAGACCCCAGACCCAUUUCCACAAUGAAUUCUGUAUCCCCUGUCCUGUUAAAGUGGGAGUGGGAUCCCAAACCAGCCCCAAAAUCUCAGUCUGGAGCCUGGGAAUGGGGAAUUUGGGGAGGGGUCGGCACUGGGGAGACCCCUGGAGACCCCAGACCCAUCUCAGGGGGGUUUAAAGCCCCCAGACCCAUCCUAGAGGGAGUUUCAGUGCCCCCAGUUGGAUUUUUGUGCCCCCCAAGAUGAUUUUUGUGCCCCCAGUUGGAUUUUUGUGCCCCCAGUUGGAUUUUUGUGCCCCCAGUUGGAUUUUUGUGCCCCCAGUUGGAUUUUUGUGCCCCCCAGGAAUUUUUUGUGCCCCCCAGGAUGAUUUUUGUGCCCCCCAGGAUGAUUUUUGUGCCCCCAGUUGGAUUUUUGUGCCCCCCAGGAUGAUUUUUGUGCCCCCAGUUGGAUUUUUGUGCCCCCAGUUGGAUUUUUGUGCCCCCCAGGAUGAUUUUUGUGUCCCCCAGUUGGGUUUUUGUGCCCCCAGUUGGAUUUUUGUGCCCCCCAGGAUGAUUUUUGUGCCCCCCAGGAUGAUUUUUGUGCCCCCAGUUGGAUUUUUGUGCCCCCCAGGAUGAUUUUUGUGCCCCCCAGGAUGAUUUCUGUACCCCCCAGGAUGAUUUUUGGGGUUUUUGUCCCCCCGGCCCCUUUGGGUGCCCCACCAGGGGGGGGUGGGGGCCCUACACAGCCGGGGGGGGGAGGGGUCUCUGUUCGCAGCCAUCGCACGCCGGGACCCCACGGGGGGAGGGGCCACGGCCGGCUUAAUUAACUGCGGAAUUCAUUAAUUAAUUAAUCAAUUACACCCUCACAAUUAACAGGGACCCCCUCUGGGAUCCCCAAACCCCCCCUCCCCCCGAUUUCAGGACACCCCCAAUUCCUGGGGACUUUUCCCAUUAAAUUUUGGGAACUCCCCGAGGAUUUUGGGACCCCCCGGGAACUUUGGGACCCCCUGAGGGGUUUGGGGACCCCCUGAGAUUUUGGGAAGGGACCCCCUGAGAAUUUGGGGAGCCCCCCAGGAUUCUGGGAUCCCCUGAGAAAGGAUUUUGAGGAUUUCAGGGUCCCACUCGUUGAUUUUGGGCUUCCCCUGGGUGUUUUUUGGCUCCCCCAGUUGAUUUUUUGGGCUCCCCUGGGUGUUUUUUGGGCUCCCCCAGGUGAUUUUUGACCCCCCCAGUUGAUUUUUUGGCUCCC